rnacentral:rRNA from 1 species
AAUCAACGCUGGCGGCGUGCCUAACACAUGCAAGUCGAACGAGAAAGUGGAGCAAUCCAUGAGUAAAGUGGCGCACGGGUGAGUAACACGUGACUAACCUACCUCCGAGUGGGGGAUAACCUAGGGAAACCUGGGCUAAUACCGCAUAACACUCACGAGUCAAAGCAGCAAUGCGCUUGGAGAGGGGGUCGCGGCCGAUUAGUUAGUUGGCGGGGUAAUGGCCCACCAAGACGAUGAUCGGUAUCCGGCCUGAGAGGGCGCACGGACACACUGGAAC